rnacentral:rRNA from 1 species
GAUGAACGCUGGCGGCGUGCCUAACACAUGCAAGUCGAACGAACCUAAUCUUCGGAAAGGGUUAGUGGCGCACGGGUGAGUAACACGUAGGUGACCUGCCCUGGAGUGGGGGAUAACUUCUCGAAAGAGAGGCUAAUACCGCAUAUGCUCGGCCAUUCAGUUGGUCGAGUAAAGCUCCGGCGCUCCAGGAGGGGCCUGCGUCCGAUUAGCUAGUUGGUGGGGUAAUGGCUCACCAAGGCUAUGAUCGGUAGCUGGUCUGAGAGGACGAUCAGCCACACUGGCACUGACACACGGGCCAGACUCCUACGGGAGGCAGCAGUGAGGAAUAUUGGUCAAUGGGCGAAAGCCUGAACCAGCAACGCCGCGUGAGGGAUGAAGGCCUUCGGGUCGUAAACCUCUUUCUGGGAGAAGAGACAAGGACGGUAUCCCAGGAAUAAGUCUCGGCUAACUACGUGCCAGC